GCCAAAUGAUGAUUUCUCAAAAGCCAAGAAAAAAGAAAAAAGGAGCUUAUUUCCAAGAAACUGCCAUUAAAUUCGAGAUUUGUACAGGAGCAGCCCGUUUCUCGGGCAAUGACUGAUGUUGUAAUUUAUUGAAAGAAGGGGGGUUGUAGAAAGACUUAAUUGGGUGUUCCCCUGCUUAGUUGACCUUCAUUUUCAUUGAUUAUUUCAAAGUCUUCUUCUACGCCCCUUUGCUUGUAGUUUGGAUGGAAGACAACAAAAUGAUGCAUUAAGAGAUAGAUUUAGAGCCAUUUAGAUUUCAGGAACCACUCAAUUUGCCAAUCAAAUUCAUCACAUACAUGUCGACAUACCAUAUAUAUAGUUCGUUGAUACUCUUCGAACAUCAGAGGGAUAAUGAUUCCAGUUCGAUUUCUUGAAGCACUCCAUUCGGUGUCUAUUAGCUAUGGAAGCUGCACAUAAUCCCUUCACCAACUUGAUGUCAACAGUGCUCUUCUUCACGGUGAUAUACAUGAAGAAAUUUAUAUAUCUCCACCUCUUGGUCUUCAAUGAUAUGUGAAGAAUCUAGUGUAUCGCUAGAUUUUUUCAAUCCAAAGUAGAUUACUUAUUCGCUCUGAAGUGAUUUCUACAUAGUCAUUUACGGAUAAAAUAUUUGGGUGAUUCGAAGUAUUUUCUGGAUAUUGAAGUCUCUUGGUCAAAGAAGGUAUUUUAAUCUCAUGACAGAAAUAUACUUUGCAAAUUCUAUAGGAUGAUGGAUUUUUUAGUGUUAAACUUGUUAGUUUUCCCCCAAUAAAGUUCUUGAGAUAAGGUUGAAUUGUUUAAAGAUCCAUCCUAAUAUAGGCAACGAGGUGGACCCUUAAUUUACUUAACUAUUACCUGGCAGGAUAUCACUUAUUCUAUACAUGUGUUAAGUAGAUUCAUGCACGCACCAAGUAAGCCACCCAUGAAAGCUGUCUUGCAUGUGUCGCAUUAUUUGAAAAGUAAUUCAGGACAGGGUUUGUUUUUCUACUUCUCAAAACGAUUGAGAGGAUUCAGAUUGGGCAGGUUGUCCAGCAUAUCGUGGAUCGACCUCUAGUUAUUGUAUAUAUAUUUUUUUUUGGAUCUUAUCUUAUUUCAUGGACAAAUUAAGGGGCAAAAAACCAUAUCUUUAUCCUUAGCAGAAGCCAAAUAUGGAGCCAUGAUAGGUACUUGUUGUGAAUUAUCUUGGCUUCAAAGAUUUGUGAAUAUUGCGGUAAUAAAGCAGCCUUACAUAUAGCAACCAAUUGUGUUUUUCAUGAAAGAGCGAGACAUAUAGAAGUGAAUUGUCAUUUUAUCUGUGACAAAAUACAAGCAAGUUGGGAGCUGUUGAUAUCCACUCUCCAUCUUGAGGGGAGAUGUUUAAAAACGAUAAGAAAAAUAACAAGAUUAGCAGGAUCAUAUUAUGUUAUGGAAGAUCAACUUGAAAAGAUCAAUGAUUGUCAUGUAUUGAUCAAAAAUGACAACGCGUUCUUAGAUGUGAUUGUAAUAAUCAUGCCAGCUAUUUCAGGAGUAAGGAACAGCAUUAAUUAUUUGUUCACAAGUCAACCAGCAGUCUUUAAUAACCCUCUAAUAGAAUACAAUCUAUUUAUUUUUUCCUGGUUGAUAUUUCAUAAUCAGUUGAAUCGGUAAUGUCAGAAGUAAUGAGCUUGUAGUUGAUAUUUCAUAUUCAGCAGAAUUGGUGAUGAUGGGAGAAGAAUCUUUUUUCUAGUUGUCAUGCGGUGCUGAAGCUUGAAUCUGGUAGCAGUGGCAAUGACAGGCCAUAGCAGUGCUAAAGCUUGAAAUCGUCAAUCUGCUGUUGUAGG
rnacentral:lncRNA from 1 species